GAUGAACGCUGGCGGCGUGCCUAAUACAUGCAAGUCGAGCGAACAGACGAGGAGCUUGCUCCUCUGACGUUAGCGGCGGACGGGUGAGUAACACGUGGAUAACCUACCUAUAAGACUGGGAUAACUUCGGGAAACCGGAGCUAAUACCGGAUAAUAUAUUGAACCGCAUGGUUCAAUAGUGAAAGACGGUUUUGCUGUCACUUAUAGAUAGAUCCGCGCCGCAUUAGCUAGUUGGUAAGGUAACGGCUUGCCAAGGCAACGAUGCGUAGCCGACCUGAGAGGGUGAUCGGCCACACUGGAACUGAGACACGGUCCAGACUCCUACGAGAGGCAGCAGUAGGGAAUCUUCCGCAAUGGGCGAAAGCCUGACGGAGCAACGCCGCGUGAGUGAUGAAGGUCUUCGGAUCGUAAAACUCUGUUAUUAGGGAAGAACAAAUGUGUAAGUAACUAUGCACGUCUUGACGGUACCUAAUCAGAAAGCCACGGCUAACUACGUG
rnacentral:rRNA from 1 species